GACGUAGGGCGCGAGCGUUGCCCGGAUUUAUUGGGCGUAAAGCGCGCGUAGGCGGUUUGAUAAGCCGGGUGUGAAACCUCCAAGCUCAACUUGGAGCGGCCACUCGGAACUGUCAUGACUUGAGUCAGGUAGGGGAACACGGAAUUCCAGGUGUAGCGGUGAAAUGCUUAGAUAUCUGGAGGAACACCAGUGGCGAAGGCGGUGUUCUGGGCCCGUACUGACGCUGAUGCGCGAAAGUGUGGGGAGCGAACAGG
rnacentral:rRNA from 1 species